rnacentral:rRNA from 1 species
CCUAUGGGGGGCAGCAGGCGCGAAAACUUUACAAUGCGGGAAACCGCGAUAAGGGGACACCGAGUGCCAGCAUCCUAUGUUGGCUGUCCAUAUGUAUAAAUAACAUGUGUUAGCAAGGGCCGGGCAAGACCGGUGCCAGCCGCCGCGGUAACACCGGCGGCCCGAGUGGUGGCCACUAUUAUUGGGUCUAAAGGGUCCGUAGCCGGUUUGGUCAGUCUUCCGGGAAAUCUGACGGCUUAACCGUUAGGCUUUCGGGGGAUACUGCCAGGCUUGGGACCGGGAGAGGUAAGAGGUACUACGGGGGUAGGAGUGAAAUCUUGUAAUCCCUGUGGGACCACCAGUGGCGAAGGCGUCUUACCAGAACGGGUCCGACGGUGAGGGACGAAAGCUGGGGGCACGAACCGGAUUAGAUACCCCCGUAGUCC